CGUGCGCACGCGCCGAAUCCCGCGAGGGAACCGGGGAACCACCACCUUGGGGUGAAUCACGCGGACGCCACCGCUCACGAGCGGCCGGUUUACGCGCGUAGGAGACCUUCCCGCUCCGAACCCGUCAGCUAACCCGGUAGGCGGCGGAAGGAAAGGAGUG
rfam:Streptomyces acidiscabies strain NCPPB 4445 genomic scaffold scf_64481_125.1, whole genome shotgun sequence.